CAGCAGCCGCGGUAAUACGGAGGAUCCAAGCGUUAUCCGGAAUCAUUGGGUUUAAAGGGUCCGUAGGCGGUCUUGUAAGUAAGUGGUGAAAGCCCAUCGCUCAACGGUGGAACGGCCAUUGAUACUGCAGGACUUGAAUUAUUGGGAAGUAACUAGAAUAUGUAGUGUAGCGGUGAAAUGCUUAGAGAUUACAUGGAAUACCAAUUGCGAAGGCAGGUUACUACCAAUUGAUUGACGCUGAUGGACGAAAGCGUGGGUAGCGAACAGGAUUAGAGACCCCCGUAGUCCCUGUCUCUUAUAC
rnacentral:rRNA from 1 species